rnacentral:lncRNA from 1 species
GCUGUGCCCAAUAUGUUGUUCAAAAUCUUUGGGAUCCCACAGUGGCUUACUACUGAAAUCAGACCCAGAUAGCGGCAUAUGUCUCUUAUUUUAGCUUAAAUCAUGUGUAAUACUUGGAUAUUAUUUUCUUUCCAAAUCUGUUACUGUCUCUUGCUACCAUGUUGUUGUUUUAUUUUCGUCAACAACGAAUUCCAUGUUUAGUACUUAUUCCCCACUAUAUAUAUUUACG